UACGUAGGGCGCGAGCGUUGUCCGGAAUUAUUGGGCGUAAAGAGCUCGUAGGCGGCCUGUCGCGUCCGCUGUGAAAUCCCGGGGCUUAACCCCGGGCCUGCAGUGGAUACGGGCAGGCUGGAGGCAGGCAGGGGAGAACGGAAUUCCUGGUGUAGCGGUGAAAUGACGCAGAUAUCAGGAGGAACACCGGUGGCGAAAGCGGCGCACUGGACCACAACUGACGCUGAGGCGCGAAAGCUAGGGGAGCAAACAGG
rnacentral:rRNA from 1 species